AUUGAACGCUGGCGGCAUGCCUUACACAUGCAAGUCGAACGGUAACGGGUUAAGCCGACGAGUGGCGAACGGGUGAGUAAUAUAUCGGAACGUGCCCAGUCAUGGGGGAUAACGUAGAGAAAUUUACGCUAAUACCGCAUACGAUCCAAGGAUGAAAGCGGGGGACCUUCGGGCCUCGUGCGACUGGAGCGGCUGAUAUCAGAUUAGGUUGUUGGUGAGGUAAAAGCUCACCAAGCCGACGAUCUGUAGCUGGUUUGAGAGAACGACCAGCCACACUGGGACUGAGACACGGCCCAGACUCCUACGGGAGGCAGCAGUGGGGAAUUUUGGACAAUGGGCGAAAGCCUGAUCCAGCAAUGCCGCGUGCAGGAAGAAGGCCUUCGGGUUGUAAACUGCUUUUGUACGGAACGAAAAGGUCUGCCCUAAUACGGCGGGCUCAUGACGGUACCGUAAGAAUAAGCACCGGCUAACUACGUG
rnacentral:rRNA from 1 species